CGGCGGACGUACUAGCUAAGGAAGGCAUCGGGCUGGCGAAUACGAGAACCGAGAACGUGCCUGUCUCCCUUGGAACGCUGCAAAGCGAUCUAGAAAAGCAGGCCGGAUCACAACCCGAAAGUAGGUGGAGGAGUACCACCGCCUGCAGAACAUCGAAAAUCAUGUGCAAGGACUGCACUGACAAACUCAGCCACUACCUGCUGCACCUACCACGGAAGGACUGCAGAUUAUUAGUGGGAAUAUUAACGUGCCAUUGCCUGGCUGGAAUCACAAACAGAGACAGUUGUAGGAAAUGCGACAGUCGGCUAGACUUGGUGUUUAUCAACGAGUCUAUGUUUGAUUUUCUUGUAUCUUCAAAAUUGUGGAUUCCACAUUUUUAUUUUUUUUUUGGGAUGUCCGGUUGCAAAACAUGUGAGAUUAUCCGAAAACGCGUUGAAAGACAGCAAACAAGGUCGCAUUCUUGGAAUUUGCCACAAUUUCCAUGUUGGACGACUUUACCAGAAGAACCAGGCCAGUCAUCUAAGGAGCCGCAAAGAAGGUCCAUUAACCCAAAUAGGUGACUUGUUCAGCUCAGUCAGAAAGGCCCCUCGCGGGAGAAUGUCAGCUGGGUUUAAAAAUGUUGGAAAAUUUAAUAAUUUGUUGUCAUUCUACUUGCGACAAAUAUAUUGAAUCUUGACGUCUUGUCCCGAAUCCAAUAAAUGGCAACAGCAGAAUCAUACCAGCGGUUACACCUUCCCUUGAAAACACUAAUUUCGGCUAUCUCAGAUAUGAGCCUAGCCAGCAACUCCGCUCUACAAAGCUCCAACCGGCAUCCUAAUUCGAAGUCGAUCGAAGGGGAAAGUUGUGAGUUGUGUUGUGAGUUGCAGUUAAGCCCGCGACUCAACAUUUAUACCACUCAGUCUGUAUGGCUCCCGUCGGCCAAAGGGCGUACGCAGUGACGAUGUAAGAGGGAGACAGAAAAUAAGCGUGUGCUGCCACUAAAAUACAGAAAAUGUCUUCAAUGGAGCAACAAGAAAUUUGGCACAAAUAUCAGUUAGGCCGAGAGGGUCUUAGAACGGAGAUAUGGUUGAAAAAACGUAGCGUCGAAAACGAAAAUAAAAGUUGAUCAGAAAUAGCUAAAAUAAAGUUUCCCUGUCCUCACCCCGAACUCUGUCGAAUACAGCAGGCAAGCAGUACCUCACGUCUCUCCUAUGAAUAAUUAUCCUCAGCAGCUACGGCCCGAGCGCGAGAAACCAUCAAAGAAGACCGCUUUAAACGGAAACAACCUCCAUCAACAUGACCCAUCCCAAGCGAGUUUUCUGAAUUUGAUAGUCAAUUCCGAAGCUUGGCUGAAGAUCGAUUAAGUUAGAUGCUACAAUAGCAGUGAUGAAAGUUGAGUAUUCCGACGAGCGAGAGUGUAAAUAGAGAUAAAGUGGCACUGAUUGCAAUUGGGCUGCAGUUUCCAGCUUUAUAGUUACUGAAAUGCAGUAGAGUAUGGUGUCUGACUUAAUCGUUGUCCAGUUUUAAGACUCGACAGAUAUUCUCUGUUUCAUCGCGCAUUGACUUGAUUACACGAAAAUAUGGCGAGUUUG